UGAAUACGAGAUGCUACGGCGUCGAAGCAGUGUAUGUCAUACUUCCAAGAAAAGCUCGCAAUGUCAUAAAUAAAGAAUGCCUGUACCAUAACCGACACAGGUGGGUAGGUAGAGUAUACUAAGGGGCGCGAGAUAACUCUCUCUAAGGAACUCGGCAAAAUAACUCCGUAACUUCGGGAGAAGGAGUGCCUUCUUUAAGAAGGUUGCAAUAACAAGAUCCAAGCAACUGUUUAUCAAAAACACAGGUCUCCGCUAAGUCGUAAGACGAUGUAUGGGGGCUGACGCCUGCCCAGUGCCAGAAGGUUAAAGAAGUUGGUUAGCUUUUGCGAAGCUGAUGACUGAAGCCCUGGUGAACGGCGGCCGUAACAAUAACGGUCCUAAGGUAGCGAAAUUCCUUGUCGGGUAAGUUCCGACCCGCACGAAAGGCGUAAUGAUUUGGAUACUGUCUCGGAGAGGGACUCGGUGAAAUAGACUUGUCUGUGAAGAUGCGGACUACCUGCACCAGGACAGAAAGACCCUAUGAAGCUUUACUGUAACUUGAAAUUGAAAUUGGACUUUAUUUGCGCAGUAUAGGUGGAAGGCGUUGAAAGUAAUCUUGCGGGAUUAGUGGAGCCAUCAGUGAGAUACCACUCCUAUAAUGUUAGAUUUCUAACUUUGGAUCAUGAUCUGGUCAAAGAACAGUUUCAGGCGGGCAGUUUGACUGGGGCGGUCGCCUCCCAAAUGGUAACGGAGGCGUACAAAGGUUUCCUCUGAACGGGUAGAAAUCGUAUCUAGAGUGUAAAGGCAUAAGGAAGCUUGACUGUGAGACCUACAAGUCGAGCAGGGACGAAAGUCGGUCUUAGUGAUCUGACGGUGCUGAGUGGAAAGGCCGUCACUCAACGGAUAAAAGUUACUCUAAGGAUAACAGGCUGAUCUCCCCCAAGAGUUCACAUCGACGGGGAGGUUUGGCACCUCGAUGUCGGCUCAUCGCAUCCUGGGGCGGUAGUACGUCCCAAGGGUUGGGCUGUUCGCCCAUGAAAGCGGUACGCGAGCUGGGUUCAGAACGUCGUGAGACAGUUCGGUCCAUAUCCGGUGUAGGCGUUAGAAUAUUGAGAGGAGCCUUCUUUAGUACGAGAGGACCGAGAAGGACAUACCUCUGGUGUACCAGUUAUCGUGCCAACGGUAAACGCUGGGUAGCUAUGUAUGGAGAGGAUAACCGCUGAAAGCAUCUAAGUGGGAAGCCCACCUCAAGAUGAGUAU
rnacentral:rRNA from 1 species